rnacentral:SRP_RNA from 1 species
GCUCAGCGUGGUGACAUACACCUGUAAUCCUCGCUCUUGGGGAAACUAAGGCUCAUAAAGCUCUUGAGCUUGGGAGUUCUAAGGGGCAGGGGACUAUGUCAAGAGGGUGUUAAACUUAUUCAUGCUAAGUUCAGCAUUAAUAUGGAGAGUCCCUGGGUGUGAGGAAGGGGCACCAAAUUGCCUAAGAGGGGCAAACAGGCCCAGAUUGGAAAUAGAGCAGGUCAAAACAUCCCUGCUGAGCAGUAGUGGAAUCUGACCUGUGAGUAGCACCCUGAGCAAGAUAUGAAGAACUAGCCUUU